GUUAUUUCUUGGCCUUUUGGCUAAGAUCAAGUGUAGCUUCUAGUGACCCAGAAUCAGGGCAUGGCCAGCACAGUAAGCUACACAAAUAUGUGAAUGGUUCAGCAAUUGCUCACAAUGGCUCUUUGGAUUGCUUUAGUAAUAUAUAUUGAACUGUUUCAGGAUUAUUACUACUUAUA